AGGGCGGCAUGGCGGGUGUGGGCCAAGUGGACUUUAACAUGGGUGGGGUCCAUGUCCAGAGGUUUGAUAUUACUCACUUAAAUGAUAUUAAACUGGAAGUAGGGUUUGGAAAAUUGGGAGGGGAGGCUGGGAAGGGAGAGAGAGCAUAAGAAUGCAGACUCCAGAAAAUAGAGGCACAGCCCUGAAUCCGUGCACUUGACUUCAAAUAGGUUCCGUUUAUAAAGAACAUGCACUGAUGCUUUAUGUGCCCGAGUCACAGGCUCAGUCACUCAACAAAUAUUUACUGAGCACCAAUUUAGGGUCGGGCUCUGUUCCAAGGACUAGAGAACAAGACAGAUGGAAUCUGGGGGAAGCUUACAUUCUAGUGAAGGGAGACAGAUCACAAAAAAGUAAAGAAAUAACGGGAUCAAGUGAUAGACUGGAGAAGGAGAAACUUGAGCUGACAUCCGAGUGUCAGGAAGGAACCAACUGUGGGAAAUGCUGGUAAAGACAACGCAGGAAGGGAGAAGGGACAGAAACGGGUUUUUCCCUUUGCCUUUUCCCACCAGUGCCGCAGACACCAAUAUCUGUAGCAAGAGCAACUCCUGGCACCUCACCAGAGCUUUCCCGACCCUGGACAUCAUUCCUUCUCAGGGUUUCUUCCAAUUGGAGAGUCAGAGAGCCAAGUUGGUCCAGGUGCCUGGCAUUCCUCUCCUGCUCCGAGAUUCCCAUACCAACCUAAAAUGCCAUCAGAACACCAGCCUCGAAUUCACCAGAAUGUCAACACACUUCCAAUCGAUGCUGUGAAAUCUGCAGACAUCUUUGUGCCAGGAGACCUGAAGGAUGUCUGUUUCUCGUGAUUCGCCUCCGUGGUGUUUAUACCAUUGAGAAAAUUAGCUGUAGCCAAGUUUCACUGGGCAGGAUCUAAACAAAUUAAUUCCUUGCAACCCUGGUCAGUUUCUUCCUGCCUGUAUCUAUGUUUCCCUCAAAUGUAAAAGGGAUUUACAGCCCAGGAAAAAUCUCUGUGAUAGAUGCAAUCUGGGAAAGGUGGAUAUACCCUAUGACAUAGAAAGACAGAAUGGAAGACUGUGGUUCGCAAAAUGACCGUAAAAGCUAAAUAAAUAUCCCCGGUCUAACA
rnacentral:lncRNA from 1 species